rnacentral:rRNA from 1 species
UUUAUGGAGAGUUUGAUCCUGGCUCAGGAUGAACGCUGGCGGCGUGCCUAAUACAUGCAAGUCGAGCGAACGGACGAGAAGCUUGCUUCUCUGAUGUUAGCGGCGGACGGGUGAGUAACACGUGGAUAACCUACCUAUAAGACUGGGAUAACUUCGGGAAACCGGAGCUAAUACCGGAUAAUAUUUUGAACCGCAUGGUUCAAAAGUGAAAGACGGUCUUGCUGUCACUUAUAGAUGGAUCCGCGCUGCAUUAGCUAGUUGGUAAGGUAACGGCUUACCAAGGCAACGAUGCAUAGCCGACCUGAGAGGGUGAUCGGCCACACUGGAACUGAGACACGGUCCAGACUCCUACGGGAGGCAGCAGUAGGGAAUCUUCCGCAAUGGGCGAAAGCCUGACGGAGCAACGCCGCGUGAGUGAUGAAGGUCUUCGGAUCGUAAAACUCUGUUAUUAGGGAAGAACAUAUGUGUAAGUAACUGUGCACAUCUUGACGGUACCUAAUCAGAAAGCCACGGCUAACUACGUGCCAGCAGCCGCGGUAAUACGUAGGUGGCAAGCGUUAUCCGGAAUUAUUGGGCGUAAAGCGCGCGUAGGCGGUUUUUUAAGUCUGAUGUGAAAGCCCACGGCUCAACCGUGGAGGGUCAUUGGAAACUGGAAAACUUGAGUGCAGAAGAGGAAAGUGGAAUUCCAUGUGUAGCGGUGAAAUGCGCAGAGAUAUGGAGGAACACCAGUGGCGAAGGCGACUUUCUGGUCUGUAACUGACGCUGAUGUGCGAAAGCGUGGGGAUCAAACAGGAUUAGAUACCCUGGUAGUCCACGCCGUAAACGAUGAGUGCUAAGUGUUAGGGGGUUUCCGCCCCUUAGUGCUGCAGCUAACGCAUUAAGCACUCCGCCUGGGGAGUACGACCGCAAGGUUGAAACUCAAAGGAAUUGACGGGGACCCGCACAAGCGGUGGAGCAUGUGGUUUAAUUCGAAGCAACGCGAAGAACCUUACCAAAUCUUGACAUCCUUUGACAACUCUAGAGAUAGAGCCUUCCCCUUCGGGGGACAAAGUGACAGGUGGUGCAUGGUUGUCGUCAGCUCGUGUCGUGAGAUGUUGGGUUAAGUCCCGAAACGAGCGCAACCCUUAAGCUUAGUUGCCAUCAUUAAGUUGGGCACUCUAAGUUGACUGCCGGUGACAAACCGGAGGAAGGUGGGGAUGACGUCAAAUCAUCAUGCCCCUUAUGAUUUGGGCUACACACGUGCUACAAUGGACAAUACAAAGGGCAGCGAAACCGCGAGGUCAAGCAAAUCCCAUAAAGUUGUUCUCAGUUCGGAUUGUAGUCUGCAACUCGACUACAUGAAGCUGGAAUCGCUAGUAAUCGUAGAUCAGCAUGCUACGGUGAAUACGUUCCCGGGUCUUGUACACACCGCCCGUCACACCACGAGAGUUUGUAACACCCGAAGCCGGUGGAGUAACCUUUUAGGAGCUAGCCGUCGAAGGUGGGACAAAUGAUUGGGGUGAAGUCGUAACAAGGUAGCCGUAUCGGAAGGUGCGGCUGGAUCACCUCCUUUCU